rnacentral:lncRNA from 1 species
AUGCUUUCAAAGCUUCGACAUGUACACCUCGUCUCUCUAAUCGGAUAUUGCGAUGACGACAACGAGAUGGUACUUGUCUAUGAGUAUAUGCCACAUGGUACACUUAAAGAUCAUCUUUUCAGGAGAGACAAGGCCUCUGAUCCUCCAUUGUCAUGGAAACGAAGGCUAGAGAUUUGCAUUGGAGCAGCUCGUGGAUUACAGUAUCUUCAUACUGGAGCCAAGUACACGAUCAUACAUAGAGACAUCAAAACCACAAACAUACUUCUCGAUGAGAACUUCGUCGCUAAAGUAUCUGACUUUGGUUUAUCAAGAGUUGGUCCUACUAGUGCUUCUCAAACGCAUGUCUCCACCGUCGUUAAAGGAACGUUUGGUUACUUGGAUCCCGAGUACUAUCGCCGUCAAAUCUUGACCGAAAAAUCCGACGUGUACUCUUUUGGAGUUGUUCUGUUGGAGGUUUUGUGCUGUAGACCGAUCAGAAUGCAAAGUGUUCCACCGGAACAAGCAGAUUUGAUCCGAUGGGUGAAGUCAAAUUUCAAUAAAAGAACCGUUGAUCAGAUCAUUGACUCAGAUUUAACCGCUGAUAUCACUUCGACCUCGAUGGAGAAGUUUUGUGAGAUAGCCAUUAGAUGUGUUCAAGACCGUGGUAUGGAACGGCCACCGAUGAACGACGUUGUUUGGGCGCUUGAGUUUGCUCUUCAGCUUCACGAGACUGCUAAGAAGAAGAAUGACAACGUGGAGUCUCUGGAUCUAAUGCCAAGUGGUGAAGUUGGUACGACCACGGACGGAGAAGAUGACUUGUUUAGUAGGACUACAGGACACGUUGGGAAAUCGACCACGACCGAUGACUCUGUUCUAGUUGUUGGUGAUGAGAGGAGUGGUUCGAGUUGGGGAGUAUUUUCGGAGAUCAAUGAACCUAAAGCACGGUAGAUUUGAUGGCUUGGUAAACAAGUAUCACAUUCUGGUUAGGGUUGAUAUAUAUUUGUGUAUGUAUAAUUGUUGAAUAAACACAUUAUUGUAUUUAAAUUACAUUUUGAUGAUUAUUUAGCAGCUUAAAUUUAGAUAUUAUAUACUUGCUUUUAUUUGACCAGAGAUAAAGUUGGAUUUUUUUUUGGCGGUUCGUAACGGUUGAGAAUAUGUUUGACAUUUGUCUCAAAAUGCAAUCAAAAAAGUUUUGCAAUAUAAAAUUUUGUUAAAUACAGUCGUUAAAAAAAACAAAAUUGUUAAAUAAGUUCCUUCGCCAUUUCACGUGGCUCUUAAGUCAUAACCUAGUUAUGAAAAAUGAAAAACACCUAAUCUUUUCUUUUUCAACUUCAAUACCAAAUGAUCCGUCACGCUUUGUUAAUAUUCUCUAUUCUCGUUUCCACCCCCAUAGUAGGAGAAGGAGCAACGUCGACGUAUGAACCCACCGAUGUCUUUCUCUUCAACUGCGGCGACACUUCAAACAACGUCGACGUUAGUGGCCGAAACUGGACGGCGGAAAAUCAGAAAAUUCUAUCGUCAAAUUUAGUCAACGCUUCGUUCACUGCACAAGCGUCAUACCAAGAAUCAGGAGUUUCUCAGAUUCCGUACAUGACAGCUCGAAUAUUCCGAUCUGAGUUCACCUACAGUUUUCCAGUCACUCCCGGUUCAAAUUUUCUCCGGUUAUACUUUUACCCGACCCGAUACGGUUCCCAAUUCAACGCCGUCAAAUCCUUCUUCUCCGUCAAAGUCAACGGCUUCACUCUCUUGAACAACUUCAGCGCUGACUUAACGGUAAAAGCAUCUAAACCGCAAACGGAGUUUAUAAUCAAAGAGUUUAUUAUUCCGGUUUACCAAACGUUGAAUCUCACUUUCACGCCGUCUUUAGAUUCCUUAGCUUUCGUUAACGGAAUCGAGAUUGUCUCCAUACCUAACCGGUUUUACUCAAAGGGAGGAUUUGACGACGUUAUAACUAACGUUGGUAGUUCCGUUGACUUUCACAUAGAAAAUUCAACGGCUUUUGAGACAGUUUACCGGUUAAACGUAGGGGGAAAAACGGUUGGAGAUUCGGGAAUGUUCCGACGAUGGGUCUCUGAUGAUGAGAUCAUACUCAGUGAAAGUUCAGGAAUCUCUCCGAUCGUACCAGAUAUAAAGAUUAACUACACGGAGAAAACUCCGUCGUACGUUGCGCCGGAUGACGUGUACGCCACGUCUCGCUCAAUGGGAAACGCGGAUCACCCUGAGCAAAACCUAAAUUUUAACCUGACUUGGUUAUUCACCGUUGAUGCUGGGUUUAGCUACCUUGUGAGGCUUCAUUUCUGUGAGACUUUGUCAGAAGUGAACAAAGAGGGUCAACGCGUCUUCUCUAUCUUUAUUGAAAAUCAAACGGCUACGCUUGAGAUGGACGUGUUUCGGAUGAGUGGUGGUUCUUGGAUUCCGAUGUAUCUGGAUUAUACUGUGAUUGCGGGUUCGGGAAGUGGUCGGAGACAUGAUCUAAGGCUUGAUUUGCAUCCUUUGGUGAGCAUUAAUCCGAAAUAUUAUGAUGCUAUUCUGAAUGGUGUGGAGAUUCUCAAGAUGAAUGAUCCCGAUGGUAAUCUUGCAGGACCUAAUCCAGAUCCUCUAGUAUCACCAGACUUAAUACCAAACCGUGCAACGCCGCGGAUUCGAAAAAAUAAGUCACAUAUUUUGCCGAUCACACUUGCAGUGGUUGGUUCUUUAGUUGUGCUAGCAAUGUUUGUUGUUGGUGUUCUUGUUAUCAUGAAGAAGAAGAAGAAGAGCAAGCCAUCUACAAACUCGUCAUGGUGUCCUCUUCCGCACGGGACAGAUUCUACGAAUACAAAACCAGCGAAAUCUCUGCCCGCGGAUCUCUGUCGUCGAUUCUCCAUUUUCGAAAUCAAAUCCGCCACAAAUGAUUUCGAGGACAAGCUAAUCAUCGGAGUAGGCGGGUUUGGUUCUGUCUACAAAGGACAAAUAGACGGUGGAGCCACACUUGUUGCGGUUAAACGGCUGGAAAUUACAUCGAACCAAGGUGCUAAAGAGUUCGAAACAGAGCUCGAGAUGCUCUCAAAGCUUCGACAUGUACAUCUCGUCUCUCUAAUCGGCUACUGCGACGAGGACAACGAGAUGGUACUAGUCUAUGAGUAUAUGCCACAUGGUACACUUAAAGAUCAUCUUUUCAGGAGGGACAAAACCUCUGAUCCUCCAUUGUCAUGGAAACGAAGGCUAGAGAUUUGCAUUGGAGCAGCUCGUGGAUUACAGUAUCUUCAUACUGGAGCCAAGUACACGAUCAUACAUAGAGACAUCAAAACCACAAACAUACUUCU